UAUUCCUAUCUCGCAUAGAUGAGAUGUUUUCUUCUACCCGGAUGCUGGCUACUCGGAUAUUUAAUACCGAGCAGCAUUUAUCAGGGUGCAACAGAUUCCUUUUCCUUAUUUUCUAUUUUGAAAAAGAGGCCGAUAAAGUCUCUGCUCUAACCAGUUUCUUCAUAACGGAUUACGGUAAAUUAUAAACAUACUUGAUGCUUCACAUUAUAAAACAUCUUUAUAUGAUAAAUUAAAUAUAUAUUUGCAACGUACAUUUUUAUGUAAUUAUCUCUUUCAUGACUAAUAAAUUAUAUAUUUUUAUUGUUUAA